rnacentral:lncRNA from 1 species
UUUACCGCACCAGACAAAAAUAUGAAUCGAAACGGAUAAACGACAAACGAGGUAACACAGCAGUCAGGUUUACGCGACUCCUCGUCUUCACACAAUCACUCGCUGACUAGCUCCGAAAUCCAUCCAACAUCUGGAGCCGACGAUCCAGAGUCAACACGGGCGACUCGGCCAAAAGAGUUCUCCUUACUCAGCCUCGCGUACAUUCUUGCCCGGAGAUCCCUCCCGGACUCCACCCUCUCCAUUGCUGGCUCCUCCCCGCAACGCUGAUCCCAGAGAUCAACCGGGUUCGGUCCGACCCGACCCGUUGUACGAGUCGGGGUCAAUGGAAGGCUGCAAAAACCGGAUCGGAAGGCGGACCCUCUUGGAGACGGACCGAACCCGGAUCCCAUUUGGGCUCCCCAUGAAGGCGGAGAGUUCAUUUUCAUCUUAGCAAGCUUGAAGUUUCGCAUCGACGCAACGAGUUCACUCACCGAGUUACGGCCAUGUUGAGGACUGUUUGGCGACAUUGGCGGCGAUUCAGACGGCGGAGAUAAUGGAGGGGACAUCAGGAUCGAGGCGGGGGGCGAACCAAAUGGAUACGAGUCGAAAGCUCCCGACCCUUG